GUCUAUUAUGAUUAACAAACUGCAUUCUGCAUAUUGGUGUUAGUGCAGGUGAAGAAACACAAUGUUUUCUGACUAUUAAAAGGCACACCUUCCUGAUUUUUUUAAUUUUUCAUUGCUGAACUUUUGUCUUGUGCAGGUGGAAACACCAAGGGCCGUGUUCGGUGUGCCCCUCAUCAGCCUGAGGAAGAGAGGACAGAUGAGGCAGGGUCUUCCUCUGGUGUUCACACACGUAGUGGAGAUUGUGGAGAAGCACGCGUUCCUUCUGGCCCCACCAUGUUUGAAGAACAGGGACAGUGUACUGCUUUGAUAGAGCACCUGCUGGACAACCUGAUCCACCUGCUGCCAAACAUGUACCCUCAUGCAUCCACCAGUAACUCAGCAGACGAUAGCAAAUGGACUCAUGAAGAGUGUGUCCCACAAUUGCCGCUCUCAGAGACCAAGUACAUGCUGAAAACACACACACACACACA